rnacentral:rRNA from 1 species
GAUGAACGCUGGCGGCGUGCCUAAUACAUGCAAGUCGAGCGAACAGACGAGGAGCUUGCUCCUCUGACGUUAGCGGCGGACGGGUGAGUAACACGUGGAUAACCUACCUAUAAGACUGGGAUAACUUCGGGAAACCGGAGCUAAUACCGGAUAAUAUAUUGAACCGCAUGGUUCAAUAGUGAAAGACGGUUUUGCUGUCACUUAUAGAUGGAUCCGCGCCGCAUUAGCUAGUUGGUAAGGUAACGGCUUACCAAGGCGACGAUGCGUAGCCGACCUGAGAGGGGGGCGGCCCCCAGUGGACUUGGAACACGGCCCGCCCCCCUAGGGGCGGCCGCAGUGGGCAUCCUUCCGAAAUGGGCGAAGUCCGUGCGGAGCAACGCCGCGCGGUUGAAGAGUGUUUUCGGGUCGAAAACCUUUUUUAUUGGGGAAAAAAAAAUGUGUAAGUAACUACGCACGUCUUGACGGUACCUAAUCAGAAGCCCACGGCUAACUACGUC